UGAGUAACCUGCCCUUAACUCUGGGAUAAGCCUGGGAAACUGGGUCUAAUACCGGAUAUGACUCCUCAUCGCAUGGUGGGGGGUGGAAGGCUUUUUUGUGGUUUUUGGAUGGACUCGCGGCCUAUCAGCUUGUUGGUGGGGUAAUAGCUCACCAAGGCGAUGACGGGUAGCCGGCCUGAGAGGGUGACCGGGCCACACGUGGGACUGGACGACCGACCGGCCCACGACCGUCCGUACGGGAGCAG
rnacentral:rRNA from 1 species